CCUACGGGGGGCAGCAGUGGGGAAUAUUGCACAAUGGGGGAAACCCUGAUGCAGCGACGCCGCGGGAGUGAAGACUUAAUUCGGUAUUGUAAACCCUAUCAGCAGGGAAGAAAAUGACGGUACCUGAGUAAGAAGCCACAGCUACCGACGAGACAGCAGCCGCCGUAAUACGUAGGGGUCAAGCGUUCUCCGGGUUUACUGGGGUGAUAGGGAGCGUUGACGGGAGGGCAAGGCUGGAGGGAAAGGCGGGGGCUCAACCCUCGGACUGCCCUGGAAACUGUACUGCUGGAGUGGAGGAGAGGUAUGGGGAAUUCCUGGUGUAGCGGUGAAAUGCGUAGAUAUGACGAAGAACA
rnacentral:rRNA from 1 species